rnacentral:lncRNA from 1 species
GUGGUGGCUUACAGGCUGGAGAAGGGCUUCUUGCUUUUCUGAUUUAAGGAGGUCAGGGAGAGGGAUCUGAUCCUCCAUCACCAGGCAGAUACUGGCAAAGGAGCCAUGGUGGUCGAAAUUUUUUCUGACAGAGAGAGCUAUCAGAUCGGCCCUGGUAUGGGUCUAAUUGCCACAGCUCCUAAUGGAAUUUUGGGAAGAGGCGGU